UUUUAUAUAGUUUAAAUUAAAACAUUAUAUUUUCAUUAUAAAAAUAAUAAUUAAUUAUUUAUAAAAU
rnacentral:tRNA from 1 species